GCCCCCAUAGCUUAAUGGUAAAGCAACUUCCUCUUAAGAAGAUGACUCCAGGUUCGAGUCCUGGUGGGGGCACCA
rnacentral:tRNA from 1 species